rnacentral:rRNA from 1 species
GACGAGGAUAACCGUUGGAAACGAUGGCUAAGACUGGAUAGGAAUACGGGAGGCAUCUUCUGUAUUUUUAAAAAGACCUGGCAACAGGUAUGCUUGAGGAGGGGCCUGCGGCGCAUUAGUUAGUUGGUGAGGUGAUGGCUCACCAAGACGAUGAUGCGUAGCCGGACUGAGAGGUUGAACGGCCACAUUGGGACUGAGAGACGGCCCAAACUCCUACGGGAGGCAGCAGUAGGGAAUUUUCGGCAAGUGGGGGAAACCCUACGACCGAGCAACGCCGCGUGAACGACGAAGUACUUCGGUAUGUAAAGUUCUUUUAAGAGGGAAGAAUCGGCCCGUAGGAAAAGCGGGCGUGACGGUUACCUUUUGAAUAACGCCCCGGCUAACUAUGUGCCAGCCGCGGC